GGGUGUAUAGACAAUUUAUCUAUGGUAUCUGUCAUGCCAUUGAUCAGAGUAUCUAUUUGGCUGAUCCAGUUGGGCACUUUAUUAUCUGUUUCCUCCAUUCUGGUAACUCCAUGUGUAUCCUGCUCAAAACAACGCUCUUGAUAGAAAAAAGACAACCUUACCCAAUAGAGGAAGACCAUAUUUAAGUCAAGGGUAUAUGAGCAGCUGCUAUGCUCCCAAGCUAGAACCUGCAAACAAACUUCCGAAGCUAUCAAUUAUGUUGAACUAGGUCUCAUCUGAGAGCUUCAUUUCCAAGAACAGUCGUGUCCUGAAGUUAGAGCGUGUUGUGGAAUUCUGUCUUUGG
rfam:Mus musculus chromosome 14, GRC primary reference assembly.